rnacentral:lncRNA from 1 species
CUCUGCCUCAUGCUGUAUGAUUUUAGCUGAAAAUCUCUUCCGUUGCAGCUUUGCUUUUAUUGAAUUCAUCAAAAGCAAACUUUCCCUGAGUUUUUUUUUUUUUUUAAGAAGGCUAAAAUAAUACGCCGACCACUGUGACAUUCUCCGCUCCCAGGCCAUUUUUCAUAACGCCUCGGAUCCGCUUUUGUGCCUCUGAGGCGACUAAACAGAUGAAUAACGAGCAAAGUCUCCCGAAAGUAAGCUAGCAGCUUUUCUCAGCUCGAAAAAAGUUAACUGAAAUGAGAGGUGCAUGUAAAACCCCCACACUCAAAGAUGGGGGCCACACUUUUAUUACCCUGAAGGACAACGAUGUCUUUUAAAAAGCAACUAAUUCUCCACACCCGCACACAUACACUCACACACACACUAGCACACUUGCUCACACAAACCCCACAAACUUUAAGCCUGUGAAGCUACCCAGGUGGUGCUUGGAGAAUUUUGGUAAAGAAAGAAAGAAAUAAGAAGUACUUGAGACAGAUGCUAGCUGGCAAGAUAUCACAAGGGUAGAAGCUGGUUUUGUUUUAUUUUUGUUUUAGUAUGUUUUAAAAAUCUCUUUUUUCUUUUCUUGUCCCCCCUGCAACCGCGGCUAGUUUGAUAGUUGGUUUCUGGCAAGAGGAAAGAAAAGGCUGCAGCACUAAAGGAAGAAUCAGAGUAUUUAAAGGACGCUCAAAAUGUAGUGUUGUGGCGGGUCGGGGUAAGUUACAUUUUCUUUUGUUUUCUCUUUGGUUUUGGAACGCAGCGAGAAUGCACUUUGGGCAGAGUUUUCCUGUUGUUUUUAGAGAUUAGAAAGUAACUUCCAGCUCCUUCCUGCGUUGACUGUCUCCGGUGACUUUGCUCUCAUUUUGGGGUGACUUAAAAGGAGAUGCUCUCUCCUCUGUUGCUGUCACCGUGGUCUCAGAGGCCCGCGAGCCCGGAGUGGCCAGGGCUUGGAGAGGCGCGCUCGGGGCUCAGAGGCAACAAGUCCUGGACUCUCCCGCCCCAGGCCAGCCCCGCGCCGCGCUGUAGCCUGAGCUGAGCCUGUGGCUCACCUGGCUCCCAGGAACGAGUUUUGCACUUGUAAACUAUUUGCUUGUGGACGCACACAGCUGCUACUCUCCGGGUUAUCAGGGGGAAAAUUCUCUUGCCUUAAAUGGACGAUUUGGAAAAACUCAGCCAUUGGUUCUUGCCAAAUGAUUAUUGAUGCAAAGUCAACCCUAAGGGUGGAAGUGUGUGCUCGUUUGUUUAACCCCCCAAAUAUUACACUUCCGAGUUGCACGAGUUGACAUCCACUUGAAAUCAUUUGUAUUUUUUUUCAGCGGCGGGGAAAAUAAGUAGGCGUGAUCUGCGGCAGACGGUGUAGACCCAUUAGUGUGGGAGGCAUAUUUCACCGAAAAGUGAUGUCUUGUGUUCGCCAAGUGUAGGAAAGUGGCCCCAAAGAAACUUGAAACUGCGUCUCCCAGGGCGAGCGCACACAUUUUCAGACUUGCGUUACCAAUAUGUAGUCAUCUGCACUUUCCUGCCACUGAUGCAUUGCUUUGGGAUUCAGUUCUGCGGUUCGAAUAAUAUCGGUGGUCUGCGGGUGUGUUUUAUGUCAUGUAUGUUUAGUGCCAAGGGGUCGUUUAUUUAAGUAAACAGCGACCUGAAAACGUUUGCUGCAAGCCAGAUUUAAUUUAAUAUUAGCUUGCCCCUUACCCGGGAACGUGAAAAGCCAUGUGCAGGGCCAGAGGCUGGGGAGAGUUGAUCCAGGUGUUCGCAAACACAUCUUUGCCAGCUGCAUUUUAGAGGAAGUCCAGGGAAUUGACGAGGGAGCCUCAGAGGAACUGACAAGGAACUGCUCGGUGGCGAUUUUUGUUCCUUAGCAGGAGCGACUCCAGCGCCUGGGUCUGACGGGGCUAGCAUAUAAAAUGCAACUUUUGCCCCAUUGGUUCGCUAGGUAAAUUAGCACAUACUGGGACUGAACAGUCCUUGACCUUUGCCUUUAUGUUUGCGCAAAUGUUUGCCUAAAACACAAUCGGCCUUGACAAGGGAGCAUGCUACCGUGUGACACUGCCUAUUCACCAGAUAGAUGUUCCCUGCCACACACGACCCAGAGAAGCCUUUUAAAUAGCUUAGGUAUUUGUAAAAACCGUAUAAAUUAAUGUCGGAUGAUUGCUAGUUGCUGAUUAAAUAGCAGACCAUUUAUAUGUGAGAUGCACAUCUCUCUCUGGCCUUUUUCCUCCCCCCAAAAUUCUGGUAAGAGAACCAGAAAAAAAAACUGAUAGUGUGGGAAAGUUGGUAUUUUGGGGGAGCCAACAGAUUCUUGUUUGAUCAAAAGGGCAUGUGUGUAUAGUUCCCUUACAAGUGACUUUUCAAUGAAGAUGAGGAAGGGAUGAAGAAAGAGGAGGGAGCAAGAGUGUAGAAAACUUUGGGGACUAAUGCUAGCAUAACUGGUAAUAAGACUGCUUGGGGGUAUGAACCUGAAUAUUCUGGAAGAUUUAUUGCUCCUAUAGGGGCCAAGGACAGUCAAGAAGCUCUUAAGGUCCUGGAGACCCUCUGGGAUUUGGGAAUGGUUCUGAUUCCUGAGCUUUACAGUUGUGAGCACUUUCUCCAAUAAAACCAAAAACUUUCACAGCAGGAGAAAGAUACCUUGUAAAAAUCUAAAAUUUGUUUAAAUCCUCAUUAUAAACCUUUCAUCUGAAAUGACUUAGAGGACUAAGUUGCCUUUCUCUGGACUUUGACAUAGGAAAAGAAGGAACUUCCUUCAACUGUGAUUUCUAGCUGGGUUCAGAAUUUUCCACAUUCUUGUUAUUACCAGUAAUGUAACAAAAGCUCACCAAUUUCCAAGACAUAGUUCCUGUGGCAUAAAAGACUGUGGAAACAGGAAGAGCAAAUUAAGAACAAGGGCAUUUUUGGUAUUCAUUCAGAAAGUGUCAUUCCUUUUGAAGAGAGGAGGGUUUACUUCCUCCAUUCUAAAGGCAUUCAGGUGGCGGAGGUAACACUAACACAAGCUACCGCCUGAGAAUGCAGAUUUGAGUCUCAGCCACUGUGGUUUCUCUAAACAUUUGCAAGGUCACUUUAAGUUGUCCUUUAACUGUCUGCAGGUGGAGGAGAGAGCAGGUCACCAGCUCCUCCACAGAAGCUCUUUUUCUUGAUCUCUGGGCAGAAUUCACCUUCUUUCUAUUGGACUAUGAUUGAGGGUAACGAAGAAUUUGUUUAACAAAAGCCAUAUUCCAGGCCAAGUUUCUCACAAAAGUAGGAGAAAGGCAGGCGCUAGCCUGGUCAUAUCUGAACCAGACCGUCAUUUUGAACAAUGUCAUGAAGGGGAUAAAAGAAGGAGCAGGGGCACAAGGAGCUCAGCUUCCUCUGCCCCAGUUGGUUUUCCAACUGUCUUCUCCAGCGUUCUCAGCACGGGUGUCAGCCCAGCCCUACUCAUAGAAGGAGCUACUGGAAAAACCCACCCCUACCCUCAAGCCUACAGGGCUACUUAGUGAAAAAUAAAUUCCUCUGAAAUCAGGUGAAAGGAGUUGGUGUUAGUGGUCUUUCUCCCUUAACAAGCUAAGCUGGGGACGAUAUGAAAGGUUGACUGUAGCAGUUCUGCAGCAGGGAGAAGACAACAGUGUCUCUAAGUGGAGAUAUGAAUAGGGCCCUCUGGGAUUGCAGAAUUUAGGACCAUCUCAAUAGUGGUCUUCUAAGUUGUGGGCUCCUGACAGUUCCUCCAAGGCAUAGCCUGGAAAGGCAGGCUGUCCUGGGGUGGGGGGUGGGGACCUAGUUAGGUAUGGCAAGUCCCUGACAGAACUUCAGUCUGCACAUCUAAGAAACAAAGAAAGCUAGAAGCUUUAUAGACACUCUGGAGAGGCUGGCUGACUUCCACUUUGAAGGCAAAUUUCAUGUUAUUUUUAUUUUCAGCUGCAGCACUGGGUCUGGAACUCAGGGCUUUGCACACUAGGUAAGCAUUUUACCACUGUUUUAUAUCCCUAGCCUCAGAGUUCUUUUUAAAUAUUUAAAAGUUUCAUCUGUCUUUGGUACUGUGAUGACCUAGAGAUCUUCAUUCUUUUUAUAUCAAGUUGAAAUGUCAGGGAUUAUAAUUUUCAUGUGCAUCAGAAGUGCUGGAAAGUAACAGUCCAGCAGCAGCCCCAUAUGAGGAAGUUUUCCGAACAUGCACAAAAGAGAAUUCUCUAGUUUGACCAGCAAUAUACUUGUGUCCCCUUUCGGGUCCCCGUGCUCCAUUUAGCUGAGUGACGUGUGGGCCUGCUGCUGGACUUCUUCCAUACCUUGCUUGUAUGAGGAAAUUAAUGCAGUAACUUUUCAAAAGCUAAGCUAUCUGCUUCUUUUGGAAAGAAGACAACCAUCUGUUAGGUUGCCUGGACGAGUAUGUAGGAACCCAACCCUCCAGAGGCCAGGGGCUUUUGCCCCACGAGUCUUCCCUUCUAUUUCCCCAAAGUCACCGCAAUAGAUGAAUAUUUGAGAAGUCAGUGAAGUUGUUUGCAAACACAUGCGGGUCAGUGUGGCCAGCGAACGGGAGAAAGACAGUUCCUAGGGUGGAAUCAGCAUCUGUACAGCCCAGUGGCCCCGGGGUCAGCCCCAACAUUAAGUAAACAGUGCCGAAGCCAAGGGCUCUUUUGUAGCAGCUGUAGCUGUCCAGCCGUCAGUUCAUUGUCCAACCAGGGCUGGGGACAUGGGCGCUGCACCGGCGCCAACUCUGUGCUCAACAACUUACGGGCACGGGCUGCAUGCAUGGCCGCCCCCGGGCCGCCUAAGCUGGCUCCCUCCUCUCCAGCAGCCGCAGUCCUUCCAGAGGCCUUUUCUCCUUAUUAGGAAACAGUGAGGAUAAAAAGAGUCCAGAACUUGGGAGAGCAGGAGAUGGUGUGUGUGGGGUGACACAACAAAGAAAAGCACAAGACCCCCCCCCCCCGAGAAUGGGGGUGGGAAGAGCUGUGUCCCAAAACAACACAAGAAGAAAAUGGAAAUGGAAAUCAAACUGAAAGCACAAAAUGAUCUUGUUGAAAAGGGAUUUUUUGUUCUUCUUUUUUUUUUUUUUCCUUUUUUGUUGCUAGUAGUGGUCAGUCUUGGAAAAGUAGUGACUGUCUCAUGAUAAAGAAGGGACAACAGGGGAGAGUAUAGUAGCUUUCCUCAGAUGCAGGGCUGAAGGGGUGAUAUUAGGUCUUAAUGGCUUUUUAGGGUUCCUCUCAAAUGCCUCAAGGAUUCAUCCCUUGUGCCCAGCAUUUCCCCUAAGGAUGAAAGUUUAAAUUGAGACACUGUCUCCCCAGCCACCUUCCCCAGGUCACACAACAAAGGCUGGGAACCCUCUGGAAGUGCAGAGGAGGGGCAAAGGGGAAGGCAGAACCCUCGAGGCUGGUUUGGUCUGACUCAGAUCUCCUCAGAAGACCUAGCAACUUCAGGCUGUACCCCUGAACCCUGGCUUGCUGGAGUGAAGCCACUUUUCAGCCUGAAGCCUGGUUGCCGCAGGAGGGGAGGGGAGCAGAAUGAGGUAAAAAGCUCAGGGUAGGUAGCAAGUGAUGGAGAUCCUUGGUGGCCCCUGAGAUAAGGCUUGAUCUUUUCCAGAUCCAUCCCACCCAACACACUUUCAGACUCUGUGGCUCCCACUUCAGCAGGGUUUGUGGGACGUGUUUGUGUGUGUGGUGAAGCCUCUGGUCCGGGGCCUGCCAUUUUGGGCCUUUAGGCCCUUCUGUGCUCACAGUUAGUAGAGCUGUUCAGAUCCUCAGAGAUAAGCCUGGGCUGCUCUGAGCAGAGCUGUGCCCAAGCAUGGAGAUGUAGCUAAUGGUACCUGCCAAACACC